AUUGAACGCUGGCGGCAGGCCUAACACAUGCAAGUCGAACGGUAACAGGAAACAGCUUGCUGUUUCGCUGACGAGUGGCGGACGGGUGAGUAAUGUCUGGGAAACUGCCUGAUGGAGGGGGAUAACUACUGGAAACGGUAGCUAAUACCGCAUAACGUCGCAAGACCAAAGAGGGGGACCCUCGGGCCUUUUGCCAUCGGAUGUGCCCAGAUGGGAUUAGCUUGUUGGUGGGGUAACGGCUCACCAAGGCGACGAUCCCUAGCUGGUCUGAGAGGAUGACCAGCCACACUGGAACUGAGACACGGUCCAGACUCCUACGGGAGGCAGCAGUGGGGAAUAUUGCACAAUGGGCGCAAGCCUGAUGCAGCCAUGCCGCGUGUAUGAAGAAGGCCUUCGGGUUGUAAAGUACUUUCAGCGGGGAGGAAGGGAGUAAAGUUAAUACCUUUGCUCAUUGACGUUACCCGCAGAAGAAGCACCGGCUAACUCCGUG
rnacentral:rRNA from 1 species